AUGAAAUAUGACCUCGUGGUUCACUUCCUAACGGGUUCAUACUUUUUGCAGGCCACUGUACCAGUUAACCCGAAGCCUUUCCUGAACAACCUGACAAGGAAGUCUGUUAUUGUCAAACUGAAAUGGGGUAUGGAGUACAAAGGGUACCUUGUUUCUGUGGACUCUUACAUGAAUCUGCAGCUUGCUGAUACAGAGGAGUAUAUUGAUGGACAAUUCUCUGGAAACCUUGGAGAUAUACUGAUAAGGUAA
rnacentral:rRNA from 1 species